rnacentral:rRNA from 1 species
GGUGAGUAACACGUGAGCAACCUACCUUGUGCAAGGGGAUAACAUUUAGAAAUAAAUGCUAAGGCCGUAUAAGACCACCGCAUGAAAAGAUUCGGCACAAGAUGGGCUCGCGUCCCAUUAGCUAGUUGGUGGGGUAAUGGCCCACCAAGGCUUCGAUGGGUAGCCGACCUGAGAGGGUGAUCGGCCACACUGGAACUGAGAAACUGUCCAGACUCCUACGGGAGGCAGCAGUGGGGAAUAUUGGGCAAUGGAGGCAACUCUGACCCAGCAACGCCGCGUGAAGGAAGAAGGUCUUCGGAUUGUAAACUUCUGUUCUUGGGGGCGAAUGACGGUACCCAAGGAGAAAGCCACGGUAAACUACGUGCCAGCAGCCGCGGUAAUACGUAGGUGGCAAGCGUUGUCCGGAAUGACUAGGCGUAAAGGGAGUGUAGGCGGUUGAUUAAGUUAUGUGUGAAAGCCCU